UGAGUACCACGUUGGAACCUGCCCCAAAGUGAGGAAUAAGCCACCGAAAGGUGGUCUAAUACUUCAUAAUAUCCAUCUCGUAUGGAUUAAAGCUUUAUGCGCUUUGGAGGGGCCUGCGUAACAUUAGCUUGUUGGUGAGGUAAAAGCUCACCAAGGGCUUCGAUGUUUAACUGGUUUGAGAGGAUGACCAGUCACACUGGGACUGAGAUACGGCCCAGACUCCUACGGGAGGCAGCAGUAAGGAAUCUUCCACAAUGGGGCAACCCUGAUGGAGCAAUACCGCGUGCAGGAUGAAGCGUCUCGGCGUGUAAACUGCUUUUAUCACCGAAGAUUAUGACUGUAGGUGAAGAACAAGGACCGGCUAACUACGUG
rnacentral:rRNA from 1 species